UGUAGUCUGCAACUCGACUACAUGAAGCUGGAAUCGCUAGUAAUCGCAGAUCNGAAUGCUGCGGUGAAUACGUUCCCGGGUCUUGUACACACCGCCCGUCACACCAUGGGAGUCGGAAAUGCCCGAAGCCGGUGACCCAACCAAAAGGAGGGAGCCGUCGAAGGCAGGUCUGAUAACUGGGGUGAAGUCGUAACAAGGUAAC
rnacentral:rRNA from 1 species